rnacentral:rRNA from 1 species
AGACGUCUACAUUAGAUACCCGUGUAGUCCCAGCCGUAAACUAUGCGCGUUAGGUGUAUCGGUGACCACGAGUCACCGAGGUGCCGAAGGGAAACCGUGAAACGUGCCGCCUGGGAAGUACGGUCGCAAGGCUGAAACUUAAAGGAAUUGGCGGGGAGCACCACAACGGGUGGAGCCUGCGGUUUAGUUGGACUCAACGCCGGGAAGCUCACCGGAUAAGACAGCGGAAUGAUUGCCGGGCUGAAGACUCUGCAUGACUAGCUG